rnacentral:rRNA from 1 species
AGUGAACGCUGGCGGUAGGCCUAACACAUGCAAGUCGAACGGCAGCACAGUAAGAGCUUGCUCUUACGGGUGGCGAGUGGCGGACGGGUGAGGAAUACAUCGGAAUCUACUUUUUCGUGGGGGAUAACGUAGGGAAACUUACGCUAAUACCGCAUACGACCUACGGGUGAAAGCAGGGGAUCUUCGGACCUUGCGCGAUUGAAUGAGCCGAUGUCGGAUUAGCUAGUUGGCGGGGUAAAGGCCCACCUAGGCGACGAUCCGUAGCUGGUCUGAGAGGAUGGUCGGCCACACUGGAACUGAGACACGGUCCAGACUCCUACGGGAGGCAGCAGUGGGGAAUAUUGGACAAUGGGCGCGAGCCUGGUCCAGCCAUACCGCGUGGGUGAAGAAGGCCUUCGGGUUGUAAAGCCCUUUUGUUGGUAAAGAAAAGCAGCAGGUUAAUACCCCGCUGUUCUGACGUUACCCAAAGAAUAAGCACCGGCUAACUUCGUG